rnacentral:rRNA from 1 species
UACGUAGGGUGCAAGCGUUAUCCGGAAUUAUUGGGCGUAAAGAGCUCGUAGGCGGUCUGUCGCGUCUGCUGUGAAAACCCGAGGCUCAACCUCGGGCCUGCAGUGGGUACGGGCAGACUAGAGUGCGGUAGGGGAGAUUGAAUUCCUGGUGUAGCGGUGAAAUGCGCAGAUAUCAGGAGGAACACCGAUGGCGAAGGCAGGUCUCUGGGCAUUAACUGACGCUGAGGAGCGAAAGCAUGGGGAGCGAACAGG